GACGAACGCCGGCGGCGUGCUUAACACAUGCAAGUCGAACGGUAAGGCCCUUCGGGGUACACGAGUGGCGAACGGGUGAGUAACACGUGGGUGAUCUGCCCUGCACUUCGGGAUAAGCCUGGGAAACUGGGUCUAAUACCGGAUAGGACCACUGCCUGCAUGGGUGGAGGUGGAAAGCUUUUGCGGUGUGGGAUGGGCCCGCGGCCUAUCAGCUUGUUGGUGGGGUGAUGGCCUACCAAGGCGACGACGGGUAGCCGGCCUGAGAGGGUGACCGGCCACACUGGGACUGAGAUACGGCCCAGACUCCUACGGGAGGCAGCAGUGGGGAAUAUUGCACAAUGGGCGCAAGCCUGAUGCAGCGACGCCGCGUGAGGGAUGACGGCCUUCGGGUUGUAAACCUCUUUCAGCACCGACGAAGCGCAAGUGACGGUAGGUGCAGAAGAAGGACCGGCCAACUACGUGCCAGCCGCCGCAGUAA
rnacentral:rRNA from 1 species